UCAAACUUGGUCAUUUAGAGGAAGUAUAAGUCGUAACAAGGUUUCCGUAGGUGAACCUGCGGAAGGAUCAUUAACUAAAAAUAUGAUGUACAUAAUAUUGUACACAUUAACCUUUGUGAAUUGUGCCAUAAUGGCAUUUUUUUUAAAUCUAGAAAUUUUUUUAAGAGUCUAAUUUUUUAAAAUUAUUAAAAAAAAACAACUUUUAACAAUGGAUCUCUAGGCUCUUGCAUCGAUGAAGAACGCAGC
rnacentral:misc_RNA from 1 species